rnacentral:lncRNA from 1 species
UGAAGAGUUGCAGGUGCAGUUCAUGAAUUUUUUUAUGAAGCAAGUCUACGGUAUCAUAUUAAGCUGAUGGUCACUUUAAAUCAGUAGUCAAGCCAUCAUAAACGGAAGAGUUUUUUUUUUUUUCGGCAUAUUAUCAAACCAUCAUAAACGGAAAAGUUUUUUUUUUUGUCGGCAUAUUAUAUAAAAGCCACAUGAGCCAGUUUUACAAAUCAGCUUCGAAAGUGGACAUAACCCAUUACAGAUUAAACCCAUUACAAACCCAAAAGAUAAAGAGGAUAAGAAUAAAUAAAUUCUGGCACGUGUCCCCCCAUUAUCUUUGGAUUCAGCAGAGCUACAUAGUCGUGAUUAUCACCACAUCUUGAUUAACUCUGACCGUCGCUUCGCCGCUUGCAUCGUCGUAUGAGCCAUGUCCAAAGAAGCUUAAGGUCUUUGCUCUUCACUUCAGACACCUAAACUUCUACCUUUGAAACUGAUUGAACACCUUUUGCUUUCUCCGGUUCAAGAGUCGGGUCUUGCUUAACCACCAGAAUAAAUUAAAACCGCAGAUGAUUGAGGUCUUAACACUCUUCAGAACACCGUCAGAUCAUGACAAGCAUGCAAAAAGUGAGAGAGAAAAUAAACCAACUCUAGUCGGAGCAUAAACCGAACAAAACGGAGAUGUACAAAGUAAAACUAAAAGCCGGACAAGCCGGAGGUGGUUCCGACUAUAGAUCGGAACUAAUCAGAAAACAAAAACAGAGCGGUAACCGACGGCGAUGAAGCCGACGGCCACCGAAACACAAACGCAAGAUCGAACUUCUAGUGAGAGGUUAGAGGUUUUAGAGAGAGAAAUGUGUUAACGUUCACUUCCAUAAACGAAAGAGUUUAAUUUGUAUUGAAGCAAGUCUACAAAAUUUGUAUCUAUUCAAGUUUACCCCAUGUUUUGUAGCACAAUUCAUCUUUACUUUUAUUAAAGGGACAUUCACAAAUAUUUUUUUCAUUAAAGAGGCAAAACACCAUUUUAC